rnacentral:rRNA from 1 species
CAGUCGAACGGACUCAUAUUGAAACCUAGUGAUUUAUGAGUUAGUGGCGGACGGGUGAGUAACGCGUGGAAAACCUGCCGUAUACCGGGGGAUAACACUUAGAAAUAGGUGCUAAUACCGCAUAAGCGCACAGCUUCGCAUGAAGCAGUGUGAAAAACUCCGGUGGUAUACGAUGGUUCCGCGUCUGAUUAGCUAGUUGGCGGGGUAACGGCCCACCAAGGCAGCGAUCAGUAGCCGGCCUGAGAGGGUGAACGGCCACAUUGGGACUGAGACACGGCCCAAACUCCUACGGGAGGCAGCAGUGGGGAAUAUUGCACAAUGGGGGAAACCCUGAUGCAGCGACGCCGCGUGAGUGAAGAAGUAUUUCGGUACGUAAAGCUCUAUCAGCAGGGAAGAAAAUGACGGUACCUGACUAAGAAGCCCCGGCUAACUACGUGCCAGCAGCCGCGGUAAUACGUAGGGGGCAAGCGUUAUCCGGAUUUACUGGGUGUAAAGGGAGCGUAGACGGCAGCGCAAGUCUGGAGUGAAAUGCCGGGGCCCAACCCCGGAACUGCUUUGGAAACUGUGCAGCUUGAGUGCGGGAGAGGUAAGUGGAAUUCCUAGUGUAGCGGUGAAAUGCGUAGAUAUUAGGAGGAACACCAGUGGCGAAGGCGGCUUACUGGACCGUAACUGACGUUGAGGCUCGAAAGCGUGGGGAGCAAACAGG